GUGAGGAAGGGGGUGACUAGUGACAGAGUGAGGAAGGGGGUGACUAGUGACUGAGGGAGGGGUGACUAGGGACAGAGUGAGGGAGGUGGUGACUAGUGACAGUCACCACCUCCCUCACUCUGUCACUGUGUCACCCCCUCCAUCUGUCACUGGUCAUCCACUCCCUCCCUCCCUCUGUCACUGGUCACCCACUCCCUCCCUCACUUUGUCACCAGUCAUCCCCUCACUCUGUCACUAGUAACCCCUUCCUUCCCUCAC
rnacentral:sRNA from 1 species